GAUGAAGAACGCAGCAAAAUGCGAUACUUGGUGUGAAUUGCAGAAUCCCGUGAACCUUCGAGUUUUUGAACGCAAGUUGCGCCCGAAGCCUUUUGGCCGAGGGCACGUCUGCCUGGGCGUCACGCAUCGCGUCGCCCCCCACAAUUCUCCGUAAAGGGAACGUGUGUUUUGGGGGCGGAUAUUGGUCUCCCGUGCUCAUGGCGUGGUUGGCCGAAAUAGGAGUCCUUUCGAUGGACGCACGAACUAGUGGUGGUCGUAAAAACCCUCGUCUUUUGUUUCGUGCUGUUGCUCGCAAGGUAAACUCUUUAAAAACCCCAAUGUGUCGUCUCUUGACGACGCUUCGACCGCGACCCCAGGUCAGGCGGGACUACCCGCUGAGUUUAAGCAUAUCAAUAAGCGGAGGA
rnacentral:misc_RNA from 1 species